rnacentral:rRNA from 1 species
CCUACGGGAGGCAGCAGUAGGGAAUAUUGGGCAAUGGACGCAAGUCUGACCCAGCCAUGCCGCGUGCAGGAUGAAGGCGUUAUGCGUUGUAAACUGCUUUUAUACAGGAAGAAACGACUCUUGCGAGAGGCAUUGACGGUACUGUAUGAAUAAGCACCGGCUAACUCCGUGCCAGCAGCCGCGGUAAUACGGAGGGUGCAAGCGUUGUCCGGAUUUAUUGGGUUUAAAGGGUGCGCAGGUGGUUUAUUAAGUCAGUGGUGAAAGACGGUCGCUCAACGAUUGCAGUGCCAUUGAAACUGGUAGACUUGAGUAAAGUAGAGGUGGGCGGAAUUGAUAGUGUAGCGGUGAAAUGCAUAGAUAUUAUCAAGAACUCCAAUUGCGUAGGCAGCUCACUUGGCUUUUACUGACACUCAUGCACGAAAGUGUGGGUAUCAAACAGGAUUAGAUACCCUGGUAGUCCACACUGUAAACGAUGAUAACUAGGUGUCGGCCGAAUCUGGUCGGUGCCACAGCGAAAGCGUUAAGUUAUCCACCUGGGGAGUACGCCGGCAACGGUGAAACUCAAAGGAAUUGACGG